UUGGGAAUAUUGGACAAUGGGAGAAAUCCUGAUCCAGCAAUCCCGCGUGAGUGAUGAAGGCCUUCGGGUCGUAAAGCUCUUUUAGGGGGGACGAAGGGAAACUUGACGGUACCCCCAGAAAAAGCACCGGCUAACUCCGUGCCAGCAGCCGCGGUAAUACGGAGGGUGCAAGCGUUGUUCGGAAUUAUUGGGCGUAAAGCGCGUGUAGGCGGCUAUCUAAGUCUGGUGUGAAAGCCCUGGGCUCAACCCGGGAAGUGCACUGGAUACUGGAUAGCUAGAGGACGAGAGAGGAGAGUGGAAUUCCUGGUGUAGGGGUGAAAUCCGUAGAUAUCAGGAGGAACAUCAGCGGCGAAGGCGGCUCUCUGGCUCGUAUCUGACGCUGAGACGCGAAAGCGUGGGGAGCAAACAGG
rnacentral:rRNA from 1 species